CCUACGGGUGGCUGCAGUGGGGAAUAUUGGACAAUGGGCGAAAGCCUGAUCCAGCCAUGCCGCGUGUGUGAAGAAGGCCUUCGGGUUGUAAAGCACUUUCAGUGGGGAAGAAAGCCUUGGGGCUAAUACCCUCGAGGAAGGACAUCACCCACAGAAGAAGCACCGGCUAACUCCGUGCCAGCAGCCGCGGUAAUACGGAGGGUGCGAGCGUUAAUCGGAAUUACUGGGCGUAAAGCGCGCGUAGGCGGUCUGAUAAGCCGGUUGUGAAAGCCCCGGGCUCAACCUGGGAACGGCAUCCGGAACUGUCAGGCUAGAGUGCAGGAGAGGAAGGUAGAAUUCCCGGUGUAGCGGUGAAAUGCGUAGAGAUCGGGAGGAAUACCAGUGGAGAAGGCGGCCUUCUGGACUGACACUGACGCUGAGGUGCGAAAGCGUGGGUAGCAAACAGGAUUAGAUACCCUAGUAGUC
rnacentral:rRNA from 1 species